rnacentral:rRNA from 1 species
UGAGCAAUCUGCCCUUCUCAUCGGAAUAAGCGUUGGAAACGACGUCUAAUGCCGAAUACGACCUCCUUUCACAUGAUCGGAGGUGGAAAGCUCCGGCGGNGAAGGAUGAGCUCGCGGCCUAUCAGCUUAGUUGGUG